rnacentral:lncRNA from 1 species
GACAUUGUCUCGGGGCGGACCGGGCGAUGGUCGGGAUCGUUGCGGCGUCGCUUGCUGGCACGUGGUGCGUCGCAGUCGCCGGCGCCGGCAUCGCACGCGCGGUCGACGUGAUCCUCAUAUCCUACGGGAUCAAUGUUGACGAGCAGGCGUGCGGCGGUCGCCGGGUCGAGCAGGUCGCACAGGGAGAGCGAGUGCGCGGCGGUGACAAAUUCAGACGCCGGAAGAAUGGCAGCGUGCCAGUAUUUGAGCGCCGUCAUCGUCGCGGCCGACACAAUGGCCGGGUCCGAUCGAGCGCACGCAUCGAGGCAUUCGCCAACCUCUGACGUCGUGGGUUCGCAGGCGGCCAGGCGCGCCAGGGCGCGAUCGCACGCCCCCAGGAGCGCGCUCGCAUAGUUUCCAUAGGCACGGAUGUGGCGGCCUAUCCAGUCUCUGUAGGGCGCGCUCGGAGGUAGAUGUUCAAAUUCGUCGUGGCACCAGCAAUCGCCGGCGCAGACUCUCGGAAUGGGCACCUCGCCCAUGGACCACAUGUGGCUGCGAUCAAAGAGUGCACCCACGAUCGAUUCCACGGCAUCGCCCGCGCACGCCUCGCCGACGACCGCGCCAGCACAGGCAGACAGCACGAGUUCAGCGUCGAUAAAAGGCGGCGGCUCGUACUGGUCGGUCCACUGUAGACAACGGAGCCUGGCACACGGCGCGCGCGACGACCAAAACGCCGCCAUUGUCUUGAGCGCGGCCGUGCAGGCGAGCAGACACGCGUCGGCGCCGAGGUACACCAGCGUCGGCCAGUAGGGCAGAAAGACAUGCGCCGGCGGAAGGGGUUCGAUCCCGGCGACGUGGUCGAUCACAUGGGCGAGGCCCUUGGGCGCCAGAGACGGCAGCGGGAGGACAAUGUCCACACGCGAGUGCGCGCCGCCAGUGUGGCCAUUUACGGUGUGGCCCGUGAUGGAUUCGCGAAAGCCGCCGCGUAAGAGCGCGGCAAAGUAGCGGCUCGCCGCGCAGAGCCCGUCGACGGGCAACACGCGCUCCAACACGAUCGGACCGUCGGCGCGGGCGCGCACGCACACGGCGACCUGCAUAAUGGGCAGACGCACAGAUAGGAGUCUCUCGGGUGUCGCCCCUGUGUAUCGGCAGACCGACCCCGCACGACGCCCUCGGCCAGCGACGACAGAAUCUUUUCUUUUUUUAAUAAUGUGGCUCGUGCCGGGUUUGGCGCUUGUGACGCAAAAAAUGCGCGCUCGUGUUUUCGCUCGGCGUGUGUUUGUUGUUGCGCUCGCAGAUUAUUUUUUGACAGCGCGGCGCUACUUGUACCUGCCGCCUGAUGGAUGGCGCAUGUCUUUUUUCCAAACAAAAAAACAGAGACAGAGGGGACGCGACCGCCCGACGCGCGCGGCCGACUACGCCGUGGGUCCUGCUUCAAAGC